rnacentral:rRNA from 1 species
AUACGGAGGGAGCGAGCGUUAAUCGGAAUUACUGGGCGUAAAGCGCGCGUAGGCGGCAUUGUAAGUCGGAUGUGAAAGCCCUGGGCUUAACCUGGGAAUGGCAUUCGAUACUGCAGAGCUAGAGUAUGGUAGAGGGAAGUGGAAUUUCCGGUGUAGCGGUGAAAUGCGUAGAUAUCGGAAGGAACACCAGUGGCGAAGGCGACUUCCUGGGCCAAUACUGACGCUGAGGUGCGAAAGCGUGGGGAGCAAACAGGAUUAGAAACCCCAGUAGUCC